GUUACUUGUUAAAUUUAGCUAAAAACUGAAAUCUAUAAGCUAAUGUUUUAGUACUCUGUAAACCUAACUGGUCUAAAUAGGUCCAGAAGUUUAUAGAUAUUUAUGCAACCCUGAUACUGCACACUGCAGUUAUAUGAAGUCAGGAUUUCAAGCAAGAAAACAGAUUUUCUCAGCUUAUGAUAUGCUAAUAAAUCCUGCACAGAAGCUCUGAAUUCCAAAAUCAACUAAAUUUAGUCUCAUUGCUGUUUGUUUUUUUUUUUUUUUUAAUUUAUUUCUUUCUAGAAAUUAUUUCUGUGUGGCCUGUUUAUGUUCUUUUUAUUCUGUGGUUAUUGUUCCCAUAGGACAACUUAGAGAGAAAAGGAAGCAGAACAGGAGGAAGACUGGAAAGGAUGAAACAAUCCCAUGUGUAUGAAAUUGAGUUCCUGAUGGGUCAAGAUUAAAAACAGCUGUCCUUGUUAAACAUGUGUUCUAAAUAAGUUGUGGGCCUGCCUCUUAUUUAAGGUGGAUCUCUCAAUAAUGAAAAUUGGCUCCUUCUGGUAUGGUCUCAAUGGCUUAUCACAAGCAUCUCAAAACCUUUAUCUAAUGGUGUGUGGUUUGUGCUUGAGAAACAUUGAAGUUAUUGAAGAGUUGGCUGUAUUGCACUGCUCAUCUGAUCUCAGGUGCUAAGAAGUUUUCAAAUCUGGGAUGGAACUGGAAAGAUAUUUAUUCUUGGUCAUUACCUAUUUGUAUCCAAAAAAGGUAGUCUUAGUUCUAAUGGAUGAGGACAGGAGCAGAACUGAAUCCUUGGACUUACUGCCUUUCCUGAGCAAUCUUUUAGAUUCUGUGGAGAUGAUGAAGAUUUAGCGAUCUCCAUUAUUAGAAGAAAAUCUAUGAAGUAAUUUGUGUGCAUUGCUGACCAUCACAUGAAACGCCUUCCAAUAACAUGUUUAUGGUUCAGUAUUCAAAACAUCUGGAUGAAUCAAAUUCUAAGUAAACCUGCUUCUACUGCUUAUACAUAAAUGGAGCAAAUGUUGGUCAACCUAGGCAUUUGGCUUUUAAGAAGGUUAAAGGAAAUAUGAUAAAGUUUCCAAAGGAAGUGGAAAAACCCAAACAACAAGCAACAGUCAGACUUUGACGGAAUAAAUGACUUCUUCCGGAAGAUGCAGAGACAAAGGGGAAACAAAAAACAAACAAACAAACAAACAAAAAACACUGGUAAUACUCCUCCCCCAUCAAAACACAAGCGACUUUUUCAAACAAGUAUUUGGAAAAAAUAGAUAAGUCAUUCAUUGCUGUAAAGGUCAAAAGACAGCUUCUGCCACAUCAUAUGGGAAAAGUUAAUUCCAGCAUUUUCGGGUAUGGAGGUCUCAUCUUACUUGCACAGUUUCUCUGUAUUUUAUUUCCAUUAUUUCUGUUUGUGUUGUUGUAUGAUUUGGAGAAAAG
ensembl:lncRNA